UUCAUAAAUAUUUUAAACUUGGGAGACUAACUUUGACGUUUCUAAAGCCUCACGAGGCCGUAUUUUUCCAUUCAAAACUUAACAACAAUACUAAUUGCUCUCGAAGAUUUUCUGUAAUUUCUGCAAAAAGGUUCUUCUUAAGCUUUGAAGUGGUGAUUGUAGAGGAGUCAAUAAAGGAUGCAGGUAUACAACAAUAGAUUAUUUGUCAAAUUAAUUAGUACGGUUAAUUAUGUCUUGAAUUUUUCCCUUGUAUAUUUUAGGAAACUCAUAAUUCCUAUUAGUUUAGGAGACCCUUUAUCCUAAUAGAUUUGAGAAAGGAAUAUAUUGUCCUUAUAAGAUUGGAAAAACCUUUUCCUUAUAGGUUUAGGACUACUUGAGAUCUAUCAUUAGUCGUGUCAAUAACAAUUGCGAGAAAGAUAAUUUUAAUAUUCCACGUUCAACGUGUGAGUAGGCAAAUAAUCGAACACCACUGCAUGCCAAAUUUCUUUAAAAGUUUUCACACAAAUCUUGGCAAGGUACUCUUCCUAAUAUCUCAACAACUACUUUUUUGGUAUAGAAAUAUUGAUAUGUUGUCUUUGAGAAGUGCAUUCUUUCUUCCUUUCUAUCUAAAGUCCCCUACUAAUCAAGAAACGAAACAUUGAAAUCAAUAUUCAUAAUAAAGUGAAUUUUGAAGAUGUUUUCCUUCUCCACCUCUCAUUCUGAACCAGUAUAGUAGCGCCUCUUUCUCACAAUGGAUCGAUUAGAAGGACCCACUGGUUCAGACACUGCAAGAAGGAGAUAAAAAAUAAUUAGAGUGAAAUCAUGAAAUUAAAAUACGUUCAUUCAUAAACUAAAAAGAAAUAUAUACAUACCUUCCUCAUUGAUGGUAAUAAAAAGCUUGUACUUCGAGCCAAACACUUUCCAUUGAAAAGAUAGGCCAAUAAUUGCAUGAGUCAGAAAUUUGCACUCCAACGUUGGCCAAUAUAGCAAUAAUCUGAUUCCUUGCCCAGUGGCAAUCAACAAACUUGGGCAAGUAGUCAUAUUACCAAGUCCAAGCAACUUUGAACUCGUCAAAGUCACUGACAUGCCUACACGAUAGAACUCUGGUGAGUUUAAAAAGCUCUUAGGAGGACUAUUUUGCUUUAAGGUGGAAGUAUGUCCACCAUUAAUUUCUAGCAUGUGACCUUUUGCGGAUUUAGUCAGCAUUGUGGUAAACCAAGGGAUGGGAAGAUGGGUCACCGGAAAAAAACGGUGCUCAUCAGAUGGGUCCCAUAAAUACAUCCAUCUGUAAUCAUCACCCACCUGGGCUGCUUGUGGAAACACUGACACCUGCUGACCAUCAGCUACAUGGGCUGCUUGUUGAAGUCUUGGCGCUGCUUGUUGAAGCGGAGGAGCAUAUGUUCGGGCUGGUUGUUGAAAGCGAGGAGCAUACAUUGGGGUUGGUUGUUGAAGUCUUGGCGCCGCUUGUUGAAGCGGAGGAGCAUAUGUUGGGGCUGGUUGUUGAAAGCGAGGAGCAUACAUUGGGGUUGGUUGUUGAAGCCGAGGAGCAUACAUUGGGGUUGGUUGUUGAAGCCUUGGGGCUGGUUGUUGAAACCGAGGAGCAUAUACUGGGCCUUCCUACUGAUUUUCAACAAGCAGGCCCAGUAUAUGCUCCUCGGUUUCAACAACCAGCCCUAAGGCUUCAACAACCAACCCCAAUGUAUGCUCCUCGGCUUCAACAACCAACCCCAAUGUAUGCUCCUCGCUUUCAACAACCAGCCCCAACAUAUGCUCCUCCGCUUCAACAAGCAGCGCCAAGACUUCAACAACCAACCCCAAUGUAUGCUCCUCGCUUUCAACAACCAGCCCGAACAUAUGCUCCUCCGCUUCAACAAGCAGCGCCAAGACUUCAACAAGCAGCCCAUGUAGCUGAUGGUCAGCAGGUGUCAGUGUUUCCACAAGCAGCCCAGGUGGGUGAUGAUUACAGAUGGAUGUAUUUAUGGGACCCAUCUGAUGAGCACCGUUUUUUUCCGGUGACCCAUCUUCCCAUCCCUUGGUUUACCACAAUGCUGACUAAAUCCGCAAAAGGUCACAUGCUAGAAAUUAAUGGUGGACAUACUUCCACCUUAAAGCAAAAUAGUCCUCCUAAGAGCUUUUUAAACUCACCAGAGUUCUAUCGUGUAGGCAUGUCAGUGACUUUGACGAGUUCAAAGUUGCUUGGACUUGGUAAUAUGACUACUUGCCCAAGUUUGUUGAUUGCCACUGGGCAAGGAAUCAGAUUAUUGCUAUAUUGGCCAACGUUGGAGUGCAAAUUUCUGACUCAUGCAAUUAUUGACCUAUCUUUUCAAUGGAAAGUGUUUGGCUCGAAGUACAAGCUUUUUAUUACCAUCAAUGAGGAAGGUAUGUAUAUAUUUCUUUUUAGUUUAUGAAUGAACGUAUUUUAAUUUCAUGAUUUCACUCUAAUUAUUUUUUAUCUCCUUCUUGCAGUGUCUGAACCAGUGGGUCCUUCUAAUCGAUCCAUUGUGAGAAAGAGGCGCUACUAUACUGGUUCAGAAUGAGAGGUGGAGAAGGAAAACAUCUUCAAAAUUCACUCUAUUAUGAAUAUUGAUUUCAAUGUUUCGUUUCUUGAUUAGUAGGGGACUUUAGAUAGAAAGGAAGAAAGAAUGCACUUCUCAAAGACAACAUAUCAAUAUUUCUAUACCAAAAAAGUAGUUGUUGAGAUAUUAGGAAGAGUACCUUGCCAAGAUUUGUGUGAAAACUUUAAAGAAAUUUGGCAUGCAGUGGUGUUCGAUUAUUUGCCUACUCACACGUUGAACGUGGAAUAUUAAAAUUAUCUUUCUCGCAAUUGUUAUUGACACGACUAAUGAUAGAUCUCAAGUAGUCCUAAACCUAUAAGGAAAAGGUUUUUCCAAUCCUAUAAGGACAAUAUAUUCCUUUCUCAAAUCUAUUAGGAUAAAGGGUCUCCUAAACCAAUAGGGAUUAUGAGUUCCCUAAAAUAUACAAGGGAAAAAUUCAAGGGUCGGGUAAAGCAAGAAAGGAAAGGUAGACCAGGCUUCAAGGGCAAGGCUUUUCAAGGAGUACAAAGAAGUACAGAGAGAGAAAACAGCUGAUCCUGAUAUUCAAUUAGUUUGUGAUGAUUCUAAUAUCUUUAAAUGGACGGCUCUUAUAAAAGGGCCAUCUGAA